GCCUGAAUAGCUCAGUUGGUUAGAGCGUGGUGCUGAUAACACCAAGGUUGCAGGUUCAGUCCCCCUAUGGGGCA